AGUGAACGCUGGCGGUAGGCCUAACACAUGCAAGUCGAACGGCAGCACAGUAAGAGCUUGCUCUUACGGGUGGCGAGUGGCGGACGGGUGAGGAAUACAUCGGAAUCUACUUUUUCGUGGGGGAUAACGUAGGGAAACUUACGCUAAUACCGCAUACGACCUACGGGUGAAAGCAGGGGAUCUUCGGACCUUGCGCGAUUGAAUGAGCCGAUGUCGGAUUAGCUAGUUGGCGGGGUAAAGGCCCACCAAGGCGACGAUCCGUAGCUGGUCUGAGAGGAUGAUCAGCCACACUGGAACUGAGACACGGUCCAGACUCCUACGGGAGGCAGCAGUGGGGAAUAUUGGACAAUGGGCGCAAGCCUGAUCCAGCCAUACCGCGUGGGUGAAGAAGGCCUUCGGGUUGUAAAGCCCUUUUGUUGGGAAAGAAAAGCAGCAGGUUAAUACCCCGCUGUUCUGACGGUACCCAAGGAAUAAGCACCGGCUAACUUCAUG
rnacentral:rRNA from 1 species